UAAAUAUAGGAUGAAUGUUAAACAUUCCAAUCGUAUGGAAUUAAGAGACCAAAAAAGGAGAGAAAGAAAAAGAGGAGAUGGAAGUGUUUAAAAAAACAAAACAACCUUGGAUAAUAACUAGAACCGCUCAUCUUUAUGAGGUAAAAAAAUUAUUAAGACUUGAAAAGUGGUAAAGGCCUGUAUGUACAAGAGAAAUUCAAUCAAAGUGCGUGCAUGGCUUUAGGGAAAUUGUAUAUACAUAAUUAAAAAAAUGAAAAGAUGUUAAGAUUAGGAAAUUUAUACCAUACCACCUAAAUCGAUGAAUGCAGUGACCAUUGAAUAUAAAAAAAAAGAGAAUGUGUGGUUUAAUGGAAUAUUUGGGAAGAAGAAGCUGUAGGAAGAAUUAAAUGAGGUGGGGGGACGGGAGGUAGAGAGGAAUGGUUGGCAUCGUAGUCUUCAACGGACAAUCUAGGAUUCGUGGGGUUUUGUACACCAUAUGAAUAAUCAUUGACAUUGUCAGACACGAAAACAUCUUGCGUGUAAUAAUCAUCAACCAUAUAAGGACUGGGAAAAGAAGGCAAGGGAUCAUCCUCAUAUGUGAAUAAAGAAGAUUCGCGAGGCACCGAAACAUGCUCUUCCCUGGAAGGAGGAGUUGGAGGAAGAGGAUGCGAGACAGGUACCUUUUUGCGAGGUUUGGAGGGUUUGGAGGGUUUUUUAGGUACAGGAGUUAAAGCGGCGACACUAGAAUAUGGAAAUUGUAAAACUGGCUUAGAAGAAGCACGGUCAAAGUAUAGAGGAUCAGUGGGGAUAAACUUGAAUUGCACAGAUAGCUCGCCAGCAAAUU